CCAGCAGCCGCGGUAAUUCCAGCUCCAAUAGCGUAUACUAAAGUUGUUGCAGUUAAAAAGCUCGUAGUUGAAUUUCUGGUCUCGGACAUCGGUCUGCCUCGAACGAGGUACGUACCAGUUGUCUGAAUCCAUCCUCGGGGAAAACAUGUCUGGCAUUCAGUUGUUGGGCAUGGGAUCCUCGUCAUUUACUGUGAGCAAAAUUAGAGUGUUCAAAGCAGGCAUAACCCAGCCUUGAAUAUUGCAGCUUGGGAUAAUGAAACAGGACGAGAGUUCUAUUUUGUUGGUUUCUAGGGCUUUUGUAAUGAUUAAAAGGGACAGUUGGGGGCAUUAGUAUUCAGUUGUCAGAGGUG
rnacentral:rRNA from 1 species